GCUUACGGCCAUACCAGCCUGGGUACGCCCGAUCUCGUCUGAUCUCGGAAGCUAAGCAGGGUCGGCCUGGUUAGUACUUGGAUGGGGAGACCGCCUGGGGAAUACCAGGUGCUGUAAGCA
rnacentral:rRNA from 1 species